ACGAGAAUAUUCGACAAUGGGCGAAAGCCUGAUCGAGCGACGCCGCGUGGAGGAUGAAGUGCUUCGGUAUGUAAACUCCUUUUGCCAGGGAAGAAGUCUAUUGACGGUACCUGGAGAAUAAGACGUUGCUAAACUCGUGCCAGCAGCAGCGGUAAUACGAGUGCGUCGAGCGUUAUCCGGAAUCAUUGGGCGUAAAGGGUGUGUAGGUGGCGAUGUUAGUCUCACGUUAAAUUCUUCGGCUUAACCGGGGACCUGCGUGGGAAACGGCAUUGCUUGAGGUUGGUAGGGGUCUCUGGAACUCUAAGUGUAGCGGUGAAAUGCGUUGAUAUUUAGGGGAACACCAAAAGCGAAGGCAGGAGACUGGACCAAAUCUGACACUGAAACACGAAAGCGUGGGUAGCGAAUGGGAUUAGAUACCCCCGUAGUCC
rnacentral:rRNA from 1 species